rnacentral:rRNA from 1 species
GACGAACGCUGGCGGCAGGCCUAACACAUGCAAGUCGAGCGAUCGGCGGACGGUUGAGUACUGUAUGGGGACUGCCCGAUAGAGGCGCAUAACUACUGGAAACGGUAGCUAAUACCGCAUACUAUCCGAUCACCCAUUCGGGAUUGGCUAGUAGGUGAGGUAAUGGCUCAACUAGGCGACGAUCCCUAGCUGGUCUGCGAGGAUGAUCAGCCACACUGGGACUGAGACGCGGCCCAGACUCCUACGGAGGCAGCAGGGGGGAAUAUUGCACAAUGGGCGCAAGCCUGAUGGAGCCAUGCCGCGUGUAUGAAGAAGGCCCUAGGGUUGUAAAGUACUUUCAGUCGGGAAGCGUUACCGACAGAAGAAGCACCGGCUAACUCCGUGCCAGCAGCCGCGGUAAUAC